GCCUGCAUAGUUCAUGGGCAGAACACUUUCAUGGUAAGGAAGAAAGAUCAGUUCAAUUCUGAUUGCGGGCU
rnacentral:tRNA from 1 species